GAUGAACGCUGGCGGCGUGCCUAAUACAUGCAAGUCGAGCGAAGCGGGCAGGGGUGAGUAACACGUGGAUAACCUCCUAUAAGACUGGGGUAACCUCGGGAAACCGGAGCUAAAACGGAUUCUUAUAGAUGGAUCGGCGCUGUAUUAGCUAGGUGGUAGGGUAACGGCUUACCAAGGCAACGAUGCAUAGCCGACCUGGGAGGGUGAUCGGCCACACUGGAACGUGGACAAGGUCCAGACUCCUUCGGGAGGCAGCAGUAGGGAAUCUUCCGCAAAGGGGGAAAGCCUGACGGAGCAACGCCGGGGGGGUGGAGGAGGGUUUCGGAGCGUAAAGCUCUGUUGUUAAGGAAGCGGUACUUAAACAGAAAGGGACGGCUAACUACGUGCCAGCCGCCGCGGUAAUUC
rnacentral:rRNA from 1 species